rnacentral:rRNA from 1 species
UACGUAGGUGGCAAGCGUUGUCCGGAUUUACUGGGUGUAAAGGGCGUGCAGCCGGAGAGACAAGUCAGAUGUGAAAUCCACGGGCUCAACUCGUGAACUGCAUUUGAAACUGAUUCCCUUGAGUGUCGGAGAGGUAAUCGGAAUUCCUUGUGUAGCGGUGAAAUGCGUAGAUAUAAGGAAGAACACCAGUGGCGAAGGCGGAUUACUGGACGAUAACUGACGGUGAGGCACGAAAGCGUGGGGAGCAAACAGG